UACGUAGGGGGCUAGCGUUGUCCGGAAUCAUUGGGCGUAAAGCGCGUGUAGGCGGCCCGGUAAGUCCGCUGUGAAAGUCGGGGGCUCAACCCUCGGAUGCCGGUGGAUACUGUCGGGCUAGAGUGCGGAAGAGGCGAGUGGAAUUCCUGGUGUAGCGGUGAAAUGCGCAGAUAUCAGGAGGAACACCCGUGGCGAAAGCGGCUCUCUGGGACGGUACUGACGCUGAGACGCGAAAGCGUGGGGAGCAAACAGG
rnacentral:rRNA from 1 species